rnacentral:misc_RNA from 1 species
GUCUCGCCAUGCUGCUCCUGGGCCUGCUGCUGCUGCCCCUGCUGGCUGGCGCCCGCCUGCUGUGGAACUGGUGGAAGCUCCGGAGCCUCCACCUCCCGCCUCUUGCCCCGGGCUUCUUGCACUUGCUGCAGCCCGACCUCCCAAUCUAUCUGCUUGGCCUGACUCAGAAAUUCGGGCCCAUCUACAGGCUCCACCUUGGGCUGCAAGAUGUGGUGGUGCUGAACUCCAAGAGGACCAUUGAGGAAGCCAUGGUCAAAAAGUGGGCAGACUUUGCUGGCAGACCUGAGCCACUUACCUACAAGCUGGUGUCUAAGAACUACCCGGACCUGUCCUUGGGAGACUACUCCCUGCUCUGGAAAGCCCACAAGAAGCUCACCCGCUCAGCCCUGCUGCUGGGCAUCCGUGACUCCAUGGAGCCAGUGGUGGAGCAGCUGACCCAGGAGUUCUGUGAGCGCAUGAGAGCCCAGCCCGGCACCCCUGUGGCCAUUGAGGAGGAAUUCUCUCUCCUCACCUGCAGCAUCAUCUGUUACCUCACCUUCGGAGACAAGAUCAAGGUGCCUCACAGCCCCUCAGGCCCACC